ACAGCAGUAGCCGCGGGAAAACGUAGGGUGCAAGCGUUAAUCGGAAUUACUGGGCGUAAAGCGUGCGCAGGCGGUUUGUUAAGACAGAUGUGAAAUCCCCGGGCUCAACCUGGGAACUGCAUUUGUGACUGGCAGGCUAGAGUAUGGCAGAGGGGGGUGGAAUUCCGCGUGUAGCAGUGAAAUGCGUAGAUAUGCGGAGGAACACCGAUGGCGAAGGCAGCCCCCUGGGCCAAUACUGACGCUCAUGCACGAAAGCGUGGGGAGCAAACAGGAUUAGAUACCCGCGUAGUCCCUGUCUCUUAUAC
rnacentral:rRNA from 1 species